rnacentral:ncRNA from 2 species
CUCGCCCCGUCAGUCAACAGCCCCGCGCAAGCGGGUUAAAAGGGAAGACCGUAUGCCGUCCUGCACGGCUCAGUCGGUCGCUGCUCCCGCAACUGUAGGCGGUCUGUCCGGGUCUUUCUGCCGCACGGCAAACCACUGGGGGAACCCGGGAAGGUUGGACUCAGGCGCAUGGCCGCAAGUCAGGAGACCUGCUGUUGUCGUUCAGACCAU